UAGUGGCAAACGGGUGAGUAACGCGUAGGCAACCUGCCCUUCAGAUGGGGACAACACUUCGAAAGAGGUGCUAAUACCGAAUGACGUAUCAAUUCCGCAUGGAGAGGAUACCAAAGGCCGGGCAACCGGUCACUGAAGGAUGGGCCUGCGUCUGAUUAGCUAGUUGGUGGGGUAACGGCCCACCAAGGCGACGAUCAGUAGCCGGUCUGAGAGGAUGAACGGCCACAUUGGGACUGAGACACGGCCCAAACUCCUACGGGAGGCAGCAGUGGGGAAUCUUCCGCAAUGGGCGCAAGCCUGACGGAGCAACGCCGCGUGAGUGAAGAAGGUUUUCGGAUCGUAAAGCUCUGUUGAGAGGGACGAGAGGCAAGGCUAGGAAGUGAGCUUUGUAGGACGGUACCUUUCGAGGAAGCCACGGCUAACUACGUGCCAGCAGCCGCGGUAAUACGUAGGUGGCGAGCGUUGUCCGGAAUUAUUGGGCGUAAAGGGAGCGCAGGUGGGAAAGUAAGUCAGUCUUAAAAGUGCGGGGCUCAACCCCGUGAGGGGAUUGAAACUACUUUUCUUGAGUGCAGGACAGGAAAGCG
rnacentral:rRNA from 1 species